AUUGAACGCUGGCGGCACGCCUUACACAUGCAAGUCGAACGGCAGCGGGGGAGAAGCUUGCUUUUCCUGCCGGCGAGUGGCGAACGGGUGAGUAAUACAUCGGAACGUGCCCUGUAGUGGGGGAUAACUAGUCGAAAGAUUAGCUAAUACCGCAUACGACCUGAGGGUGAAAGUGGGGGACCGCAAGGCCUCAUGCUAUAGGAGCGGCCGAUGUCUGAUUAGCUAGUUGGUGGGGUAAAGGCCUACCAAGGCGACGAUCAGUAGCUGGUCUGAGAGGACGAUCAGCCACACUGGGACUGAGACACGGCCCAGACUCCUACGGGAGGCAGCAGUGGGGAAUUUUGGACAAUGGGCGAAAGCCUGAUCCAGCGAUGCCGCGUGUGUGAAGAAGGCCUUCGGGUUGUAAAGCACUUUUGUCCGGAAAGAAAUGGCUCUGGUUAAUACCUGGGGUCGAUGACGGUACCGGAAGAAUAAGGACCGGCUAACUACGUGCCAGCCGCCGCAGUAA
rnacentral:rRNA from 1 species